GACAGAGGGGGCAAGCGUUGCUCGGAAUCACUGGGCGUAAAGGGUGCGUAGGCGGGUCUUUAAGUCAGGGGUGAAAUCCUGGAGCUCAACUCCAGAACUGCCUUUGAUACUGAAGAUCUUGAGUUCGGGAGAGGUGAGUGGAACUGCGAGUGUAGAGGUGAAAUUCGUAGAUAUUCGGAAGAACACCAGUGGCGAAGGCGACUUACUGGACACAUAUUGACGCUGAGGUGCGAAAGCGUGGGGAGCAAACAGG
rnacentral:rRNA from 1 species